GUCCGAAAGGGCAGACUGUCGGCGACGGCAGGACGCGAAGCCUCCGGGCUCGCAAGAGCUAGCGGGGCCGCCAGGA
ncrna:unclassified sequences c-di-GMP-I-GGC riboswitch